rnacentral:rRNA from 1 species
UACGUAGGGGGCGAGCGUUGUCCGGAUUUAUUGGGCGUAAAGAGCUCGUAGGCGGUUUGGCAAGUCGGGUGUGAAAACUCCGGGCUCAACUCGGAGACGCCACUCGAUACUGCUAUGACUCGAGUCCGGUAGGGGAGUGCGGAAUUCCUGGUGUAGCGGUGAAAUGCGCAGAUAUCAGGAGGAACACCAGUGGCGAAGGCGACUACCUGGCCUGUUCUUGACGCUGAGGCGCGAAAGCUAGGGGAGCAAACGGG